AGAUACAUUCUGCUCCUUAGCCCAGGAAAUGCUGAAGCCACUUUCCUGGGGUCACCACUGGAAUCCUCAGUGAUCCCUUGCCAGUUGGGCUUACUCUUGCUCUCAGGGUCCAUCCUCCAGACACCUAGAGACCACCCCUAGGAAUUCACAUUUCUGGAGAGAGUUCCCAUUCUUGUUUUCAAGGAAGGCUUCACAUGCGCUAAUAUAGCCUGAUGCACAUGGAGUUGGCUGUACUCAAGAGAGCAAGGUCUCUUGACUAUGUCUUUGCGCUCUCACUAGUUUGCAAGGUCUGUGAAGGCUGCAGGCACUUUUUCAUCUUUGUGUGUGUGGCUCCCAUCACAGCACCUACAACAUGGAAGACUCUCCCAACUUGCCUGUUAAAUGUUGAUAAUCAUCAAAUUUCAUUACGGACUGUUCAAGAGGCCAGGAAAUCACUAAACCCCAUGGGCUGGCAGCUUCUGAAGCCACCGCCAAGACUUCCACUGGGAUAUGCUUACCCAUCUGUGGGCUGCUAUGCUGGCACUGCCCAGUAACAGAUGUGGAGAGCCUGGAAGACCCGAAGCGGGGCGCCCCCACCCAUCAGGGGACCCAUGAGGAGGGGCACCCGGGUGGCUCAGUGGUUGGCCAUAUGCCUUCAGCUCAGGUUGCCAUCCCAGAGUCCUGGGAUUGAGUCCCACAUCGGGCUCCCUGCGAGGAGCCUGCUUCUCCAUCUGCCUAUGUCUGCCUUUCUCUCUGUGUCUCUCAUGAAUAAAUAAAAUUUAAAAAAAAAGGAAACCCACAAGUAACCCAAGGCACCCCCAGACCAUCCAGACCCACUGAGG